CCAACCAAGAGCCCACCAACAACCCACCCAAACCCGUUAAAAAGCAGGACUUGUAGCCUCUUCGCGUUCGGAAUCGGGUCAUAUAAAGACGGUUCCGCGUGGUUGCUAGUCGACGACAAGAGAAAACAAAAGAAAGACGAUAUGGGAGCCAGUUCAUCUACUCCAGCGACCGGUAUGCUUUACCCUUCACCUGCUGGGACAACCAUUGGCUAUGAUGUACAACCAGACGCGCAACUGACCUCAAUUUUGCAGCCAACUGCACCAUCUGGAACACAGGCAGGAACUGCAGCAGCUUCUGCUCCACCAGGAACAAGUUCAAGUUCCUCUACUACCGGAAUGUUUUGAUGCCUCUGUUCUGAAUCAUCAUCAUGGAGCCCUCAAACAGCAUGUCCAUCAUUUCAAAUGAAUUUACAAAUAGUGAUUUGUAAUCUAAAUUUAACGGAAUUAUGUUGCUGAAGGAAAUGUUACGUGUGAUCAGAGUGUGGAAGUCCACAAGUAAAGAAUAAUACAUCUAUUUGUCAGCAAGAAUUUGUUUAAUGUCACAAGGCCCUUUAACAUUAAACGUACGUGUGCAUUCAUAAAGUUGUAUGACAGGUUGUGUAUUCCUUAAAGUGACCUAUCAAAAGCAAAAA